rnacentral:rRNA from 1 species
ACGUAGGCAGCGAGCGUUGUUCGGAGUUACUGGGCGUAAAGGGUGUGUAGGCGGUUCUUUAAGUUUGGUGUGAAAUCUCCCGGCUCAACCGGGAGGGUGCGCCGAAUACUGAGGGACUAGAGUACGGGAGAGGAAAGUGGAAUUCCUGGUGUAGCGGUGAAAUGCGUAGAUAUCUGCAGGAACACCCGUGGCGAAGGCGGCUGGCUGGAUCGCAACUGACGCUGAGGAACGAAAGCUAGGGGAGCAAACAGGA